rnacentral:rRNA from 1 species
GACGAACGCUGGCGGCGUGCUUAACACAUGCAAGUCGAACGAAGCGCGCUGGAAGCUUGCUUCUCUCAUUCUUAGUGGCGAACGGGUGAGUAACGCGUAAUCAACCUGCCCUUCAGAGGGGGACAACAGUUGGAAACGACUGCUAAUACCGCAUACGAUCUAAUCUCGGCAUCGAGGAUAGGUGAAAGGUGGCCUCUACAUGUAAGCCAUCACUGAAGGAGGGGCUUGCGUCUGAUUAGCUAGUUGGAGGGGUAACGGCCCACCAAGGCGAGGAACAGUAGCCGGUCUGAGAGGAUGAGCGGCAACGUUGGGACGGGGACACGGCCCGGACUCCUACGAGAGGCAGCAGUGGGGAAUCUUUCGCAAUGGACGAAAUGCUGACGGUGCAACGCCGCGUGAGUGAUGACUGCCUUCGGGUUGUAAAGCUCUGUUAGUCGGGACGAAAGUCCUUCUUGCGAAUAGUGGGAAGGAUUGACGGUACCGGAAUAGAAAGCCACGGCUAACUACGUG